UACGGAGGGAGCUAGCGUUGUUCGGAUAUACUGGGCGUAAAGCGCACGUAGCGGCGCCGUAAGUCAGGGGUGAAAUCCCGGGGCUCAACCCCGGAACUGCCUUUGAUACUGGGUAUCUCGAGUCCGGAAGAGGUGAGUGGAAUUCCGAGUGUAGAGGUGAAAUUCGUAGAUAUUGGGAAGAACACCGGUGGCGAAGGCGGCCCCCUGGUUGGAUACUGACGCUGAGACGCGAAAGCUAGGGGAGCGAACGGGG
rnacentral:rRNA from 1 species